GACGAACGCUGGCGGCGUGCUUAACACAUGCAAGUCGAACGGAAAGGCCCAGCUUGCUGGGUGCUCGAGUGGCGAACGGGUGAGUAACACGUGGGUGAUCUGCCCCUAACUUCGGGAUAAGCUUGGGAAACUGGGUCUAAUGCCGGAUAGGACAAUCGUUUAGUGUCGGUUGUGGAAAGUUUUUUCGGUUAGGGAUGAGCCCGCGGCCUAUCAGCUUGUUGGUGGGGUAAUGGCCUACCAAGGCGUCGACGGGUAGCCGGCCUGAGAGGGUGGACGGCCACAUUGGGAAUGAGAUACGGCCCAGACUCCUACGGGAGGCAGCAGUGGGGAAUAUUGCACAAUGGGCACAAGCCUGAUGCAGUGACGCCGCGUGGGGGAUGACGGCCUUCGGGUUGUAAACCUCUUUCGACAGGGACGAAGCUUUGGUGACGGUACCUGUAUAAGAAGCACCGGCUAACUACGUGCCAGCCGCCGCGGUAA
rnacentral:rRNA from 1 species